rnacentral:rRNA from 1 species
CCUACGGGAGGCUGCAGUGAGGAAUAUUGGUCAAUGGACGAGAGUCUGAACCAGCCAAGUAGCGUGAAGGAUGACUGCCCUAUGGGUUGUAAACUUCUUUUAUAAAGGAAUAAAACGAGGCACGUGUGCCUUUUUGCAUGUACUUUAUGAAUAAGGAUCGGCUAACUCCGUGCCAGCAGCCGCGGUAAUACGGAGGAUUCGAGCGUUAUCCGGAUUUAUUGGGUUUAAAGGGAGCGUAGAUGGGUUGUUAAGUCAGUUGUGAAAGUUUGCGGCUCAACCGUAAAAUUGCAAUUGAUACUGGCAGUCGUGAGUACAGUUGAGGUAGGCGGAAUUCGUGGUGUAGCGGUGAAAUGCUUAGAUAUCACGAAGAACCCCGAUUGCGAAGGCAGCUUACUAAGCUGUGACUGACAUUGAUGCUCGAAAGUGUGGGUAUCAAACAGGAUUAGAUACCCGAGUAGUC